rnacentral:antisense_RNA from 1 species
CUUCAGCGAGCCGACCAGGACGGGCCGCUCCUCGGGCCGGUCCUUGCCGUAGGUGGCGAGCAGCGCCCCCGCCUC